rnacentral:rRNA from 1 species
AAAGCUCAAAUUUAAAAUCUGGCAGUCUUUGAUUGUCCGAGUUGUAAUCUAGAGAAGUGUUAUCCGCGCUGGACCGUGUAAAAGUCUCCUGGAAUGGAGCAUCAUAGAGGGUGAGAAUCCCGUCUUUGACAUGGACUACCAGUGCUUUGUGAUGCGCUCUCAAAGAGUCGAGUUGUUUGGGAAUGCAGCUCAAAAUGGGUGGUAAAUUCCAUCUAAAGCUAAAUACAGGCGAAAGACCGAUAGCGAA